rnacentral:rRNA from 1 species
GGGUGACGAAGCGACGCCGCGUGAGCGAAGAAGGCCCUAGGGUUGUAGAGCUCUGUCGGGGGUUAUGAAAUGCAGGUUGGUUAAUACCCAACCUGUUUGACAAAGGCCCCAAAGGAAGCCACGGCUAACUCUGUGCCAGCAGCCGCGGUAAUACAGAGGUGGCAAGCGUUGUUCGGUAUUAUUGGGCGUAAAGAGCACGUAGGUGGUUUUGUAAGUCAGAUGUGAAAGCCUUCUGUUCAAAGGAAGAACGGCAUCUGAAACUGCAGAUCUUGAGUGUAGGAGGGGAGAGUGGAACUUCUGGUGGAGCGGUGAAAUGCGUAGAUAUCAGAAGGAACGUCGGCGGCGAAAGCGACUCUCUGGCCUAUUACUGACACUGAGUGUGCGAAAGUUAGGGGAGCAAACGGGAUUAGAUACCCCGGUAGUCCUAACUGUAAACGAUGGGCACUAAGUAGAGG